rnacentral:rRNA from 1 species
GACGAACGCUGGCGGCGUGCUUAACACAUGCAAGUCGAACGGAAAGGCCUCUUUCGGGGGGUACUCGCGUGGCGAACGGGUGAGUAACACGUGAGUAACCUGCCCUUGACUUUGGGAUAACUUCAGGAAACUGGGGCUAAUACCGGAUAGGAGCUCCUGCUGCCUGGUGGGGGCUGGAAAGUUUCGGCGGUUGGGGAUGGACUCGCGGCUUAUCCGCUUGUUGGUGGGGUAGUGGCUUACCAAGGCGUUGACGGGUAGCCGGCCUGAGAGGGUGACCGGCCACAUUGGGACUGAGAUACGGCCCAGACUCCUACGGGAGGCAGCAGGGGGGAAUAUUGCACAAUGGGUGGAAGCCUGAUGCAGCAACGCCGUGGGCGGGAUGACGGCCUUCGGGUUGUAAACCGCUUUCGCUCAUGACGAAGCUUUGUGUGACGGUAGUGGGUAAAGAAGCACCGGCUAACUACGUG